rnacentral:ncRNA from 1 species
AGUUUUGAUAGAGGUUGCGCUUUUCAUCAGUAGCCUGUUGGAUGUAUUCUGGUACAGAAGAAGACAGGGGAAAGGGGACGGCGCCGAAGAGAUAUUCCGCAGAGAGGUUUAUUUCUGGGCAUAUGGUUAACAGCCAUGUGACUGUCAUCUUUUUUAAGAUGGAGAGCUAUCUAAAGA